rnacentral:rRNA from 1 species
UACGAAGGGGGCGAGCGUUGUUCGGAUUUACUGGGCGUAAAGGGCGCGUAGGCGGCCCUCCUAGUCGCGUGUGAAAUCUCAGGGCUCAACCCUGAAAUUGCGACCAAUACUGGUCGACUAGAGUGUGAGAGAGGAAGGUGGAAUUCCCGGUGUAGUAGUGAAAUGCGUAGAUAUCGGGAGGAACACCAGUGGCGAAGGCGGCCUUCUGGCUCAUAACUGACGCUGUAGCGCGAAAGCGUGGGGAGCGAACCGG